CCAUCUGGGCUGAACCAAGUGGGUCCCACAUGGGCAAACCCAGGUGGGCUCCCCAUGUGGGACCCACUUGGUUUAGUAAUGGGAAAGGGGUACAUGGGCUGGAAAUGGGCACUGAUUCAGUUUAACAAGAAUUGCAAACUGUAAAUCCCAAAGUUUAAUUACAUGAGUAGAUAGUACAAAUAUGGUCUUAAUUUAUUUUAAUAUAUACAUAUACUUAAUAUAAAUAUAAUAUAAUUAAUUAAACUUAAUGCACAAAUAUAUGUUUUGUUAUUUCGCCACUUUAACACAAUACUUUGAUCUAAUCAAAAAGUCAAUUUUACCCAAUUUUGUGCAAUUUAAAAGCAUUAAGAGCAUGCAGAUACAGAGAAAUAAAGGCUAAAAAAUACAUUUGAGAGUUUACAAAACUGCAGGAUGGAUCUCGCGAGAUUUUAUACAGCAAUACCCAUCCCCCACCCCUCUUUGAAUCUCGCGGGCGCCAUGAUGACACUCACUGCCAUUCUGCUGCAAUUUUCCGGAGGAGACUUUCACUGUCAGUGUAUUCAAGGUAAGAACCGAAUAAUUGCAUACAAUAUAUAAAAAAAUUCGAUUUUAAUCAAAAUACAUUGUUUUUAAAGCAUAAUAUUUAACAAAACAUGUACUUGUCAAGUUAGAAUUUCAGUUAGAUAUCCAGUUCCCUAGUUCGCGCCAUUUUCUGCCAUUACAAAACGAUCUUCUUUUUAAAUAAGUUAAUUGUUAAUACACAAACUCUGUCCAACUUGACUGAAUUUCAGAAUCUAGCUUUAUAUUUUACCACAGUUUUACAAUAUAAAUCCCACAAUUGCAGUCAUUUCUUUAUUUGUUUAACGUUAGGUGUGCACCACAGUUGGUUACGUGGUACAUUUACUUCGUUAACAUACAAAGUUACUUGAGUUAAGAUUUUGGUAAUAGCCUAGUACAUUUACAAAAAAAAAAAAAAGUAAGUUUACUCUUACUUUAAGUAUAUUUUUUUAAUGGAAAAGUUGUACUUUUACUUGCGUUCCUUCAUUACUGGAUGUUAAUUCAUUACUAAAUGUAUAUUUUUAAUUGCUGUCGUGUUUCUAGGGUAUCCGCGAAUUAAUGACUCGUUUGAGUCGUUUCCUUACAACGUAUUACAAAUGAAUGAGUCUUUUGAGUCGAUUCUUUACAAAACAAACUGUCAAAACUUUUGAAUUGGUUCGCGAAUCAGUUUAAAUGAAUUUUUCAGAUCGCUUCAAAAACUGAAUCAUCUGGUGCGGUUUCAUCAAGAAACACGCAGAACACAGUGUAGGAUGACGUGAAUACUUGAAGCAAAACUUCACACGUAUAUCCGCCAUUAUGCGCGACCUGUUUGCAGUCAGACAUAGUUACACGUGCGCAACCUCCGAAAUACUGUACACGUGACUGUACAACAGAAUGACGAAAAUCUAUCGAUGCUUGUCUCGCUGUAUACUGUACUGUAUGUUGUAAUUGCGUCUAAGGCUACAACAACAUGAGAUACUCAACAUAAGAAAACUUUCACACUGUGCCCUUCAUAUGGGACCAUACAGACAAAGUGUUUCUGUUUGCUGUGGAAACGAGAAAUUGGAAAGAUGAAUAUCAGAAUGUCAGAAGAAACUUGAAAAAAUGCUCUAACAAACAAAAUAACAAGAAGAGAGGCAGAAAAGGCUGUGUCAAAGUGGCUAAUUGGUGCCGGGAAAUAGGAGGGAAUCGCACUGCAAGGGCACAUGUUGGAGAACAAAUGGGGGCCGUUGGGACAGCAACAACAUAGGAGUGAGGAGCUGCAGUAAUGUUGUCUUGUUUGUGAAAACCUUUAUUUUAGAUUUUUCUGAUAUGCAUAUAUAAAAACAAGUUUUUCCAAAUAAAGUUUUACAAAAGUGAAUUAAAGCGUUACUCCAUCAAAAAAUGAAAAAUCUGUAAUUAAUUACUUUUCCUCAUGUCUUUCCACACAAGGCAAAACCUUGGAAUGACAUGAGGGUAACUAAUUAAUGAGAGAAAUUUAAAUUUUGGAUAAACAUAACCCUGUAAAUGUAACUUUUUUCCUUUCUUUAGUUGUGUUUUAUAAAGUUUUAAAUGUACAAGUCCUAAUAGUCAUGUUCAAAUUAUUAAUAAACUGCAUAAUGAAGUAAAUCAUGAACUGCUGUUUUCUGUUUAUUGAAUAACUUUAACAUUUUAUUGAAGUUUAAUGCUUGGAAGUUUUGUAUUUAGGGGUUUACUGUAAAAUAAGGUAACCCAAACCAACAAAUAUUGUAGCCCAUAAAUAUACCAGUUGUAACCCAUAAGUGCCCUAAAUAAGUCCUAUCUGGGCCCCAU